AAGUCAUUGUUUGUUUGAAGGUAUCCCAACAUUACCUGGAGAAACAUUAGAACUUUUUGGAAACUUUAGUAAGGUACAUAAAUAAGAUGGAUGUUCCAGUAGAGCGUGUAUUGGUUGCCGUAAGGGUGCGUCCACUUUCAGAUAAAGAAAA